UCCAGAAUCAAAACCUAGAAAUCUCACAAUGAAAACACAAAUUGAAACCUAAAUUUCAGUAAUCACAACAUAGAAAUCUCGAUCUAUUCUCAAAACCUAGAAAUCUUGAUCAUCAGAACCUUAAAAAAAUUUUAAACCUAGAAUGCAAAAUCAGUUUUGUUACUGAAAUCUGAAAUCAAUUCAUCUUUGAUUAUCAUCAGGUGAAUCUAUUACAGCUGAGAACGAAACAAGGGAAGGAGAGUACUACGUCUGGCACGAGUUUCGUAGAGUAAAAUUGUUGUUCUAAGGACUUGAAAGGUAUCGACGUAUCGUGCACGAAACCUGUUCAUCACAGAGAGGGAAGCAAUUGCAGGUGGUGAAUUGGAUUGUGGAGCUGAGUAGAGUCAGCUAGGAGAUGUUGCUGCCGCUGCUUUCAGAUUGGCAGUGUGCAAGUGUAGAUGCUGGUAUUGUUGAUAUGGUUAUUGCAGUGAUGGGUUUGAUAUGGUUAUUGCAGUGACAGGGUCUUGUGACGAGUUUCAUUUGAUGCUGCUAGUAAGCUCCGGUUGCAGCUGAAGUUAAUAUUAUAGAGAAGGUGGUACUGGUGUUGGCUUUGAGUUGGUUCUCUAUGAAGAAUGGUUUGAGCUGAUGCUUGAGAAUGGUUUUUAAGUAUAGUUG